rnacentral:rRNA from 1 species
GUAGGUGGCAAGCGUUGUCCGGAAUUAUUGGGCGUAAAGCGCGCGCAGGCGGUUCUUUAAGUCUGAUGUGAAAGCCCACAGCUCAACCGUGGAGGGUCAUUGGAAACUGGAGAACUUGAGUACAGAAGAGGAAAGCGGAAUUCCACGUGUAGCGGUGAAAUGCGUAGAGAUGUGGAGGAACACCAGUGGCGAAGGCGGCUUUCUGGUCUGUAACUGACGCUGAGGCGCGAAAGCGUGGGGGAGCAAACAGGAUUAGAUACCCUGGUAGUCCACGCCGUAAACGAUGAGUGCUAAGUGUUAGGGGGUUUCCGCCCCUUAGUGCUGCAGCUAACGCAUUAAGCACUCCGCCUGGGAGUACGGCCGCAAGGCUG